rnacentral:rRNA from 1 species
AUUGAACGCUGGCGGCAGGCCUAACACAUGCAAGUCGAACGAGUGGCGGAUGGGUGAGUAAUGUCUGGGAAACUGCCUGAUGGAGGGGGAUAACUACUGGAAACGGUAGCUAAUACCGCAUACCAUCAGAUGUGCCCAGACGGGCUUAGCUUGUUGGUGGGGUAACGGCUCACCAAGGCGACGAUCCCUAGCUGGUCUGAGAGGAUGACCGGCCACACUGUGACUUAGACGAGGUCCAGACUCCGACGGGAGGCAGCGUUGGGGAUUAUAGCACAAUUGGCACAAGCCUGAUGCAGCCAUGCCGCGUGUAUGAAGAAGGCCUUCGGGUUGUAAAGUACUUUCAGCGGCGAGGCGUUACCCGCAGAAGAAGCACCGGCUAACUCCGUGCCAGCAGCCGCGGUAAUAC